GGAAUUUUCCGCAAUGGGCGAAAGCCUGACGGAGCAACGCCGCGUGAGGGAUGACGGCCUGUGGGUUGUAAACCUCUUUUCUCAAGGAAAAAGUUCUGACGGUACUUGAGGAAUAAGCAUCGGCUAACUCUGUGCCAGCAGCCGCGGUAAUACAGAGGAUGCAAGCGUUAUCCGGAAUCACUGGGCAUAAAGCGUCUGUAGGUGGUUUGGUAAGUCUGCUGUUAAAGACUGGGGCUCAACCCCAGAAAAGCAGUGGAAACUGCCAGACUUGAGUGUGGUAGAGGUAGAGGGAAUUCCUAGUGUAGCGGUGAAAUGCGUAGAUAUUAGGAAGAACACCAAUGGCGAAGGCACUCUACUGGGCCAUAACUGACACUGAGAGACGACAGCUAGGGGAGCAAAUGGGAUUAGAUACCCCAGUAGUC
rnacentral:rRNA from 1 species